UACAGAGGGGGCAAGCGUUGUUCGGAAUUAUUGGGCGUAAAGAGCGUGUAGGCGGUCCGGUAAGUCAGCUGUGAAAGUCAAGGGCUCAACCCUUGAAUGCCGGUUGAUACUGUCGGGCUAGAGUCCGGAAGAGGCGAGUGGAAUUCCCGGUGUAGCGGUGAAAUGCGCAGAUAUCGGGAGGAACACCAAUGGCGAAGGCAGCUCGCUGGGACGGUACUGACGCUGAGACGCGAAAGCGUGGGGAGCAAACAGG
rnacentral:rRNA from 1 species